rnacentral:tRNA from 1 species
AGUGGAUCAUUGGGAGAAUGCUUGCCUGGAAAGCAGUAGGCCCUAGGUUCAAUUCCUAGCACUA